GUUAGAACUAAAUUCAAGUUCGGGAGAGAGGGAGAAAACAAAUCAAAUGAGAAUCAAGCGAAUGAACACGGUGAUUUAUUUUACCGAGGUUCGGUUCCAAAGAACCUAGUCCCUGUUGAGGAGGUCACAAAGACCGGGUCUAUUUCAACCCUUUCCCUCUCUCAAAUGGUCACUUAGACCGAGUGAGCCUUCUCCUUAAUCAAUCGGGUCACUAAGACCCCGCAAGGACCACCACACACUUAGGUGUCUCUUGCUUUGAUUACAAGUCACUUGAGAACAUGAAUGAGAAAGAAGAAAGGCAAUCCAAGAGAUAAGAGCGCAAAAGAACACGAACACACUCUCUCACAAGUCACUAAAUGUUUGAGUUGGAUUCUAGGCUUGGAGAGGGUUUGAUCUUUGGAAAUGUGUCUUGGAGUGAAUGCACUAGCUCAUGUAUUGAAUGUGAUCUCUGAAAAACUUGGAUGCCAAAGGUUGUGGUGGUUGGGGGGUAUUUAUAGCCCCCAACCACCUUGGUAGCCGUUGGCCAAGGCUGCUGGCGAUGGGCGCACCAGACAGGUACUGUGCGCUGUCCGGUGCGCCGCCAUGUCAGCUAUCCGUUAGGGUUCUGGAGCAGGUGACCGUUGGCGCCUUUGUCCUCUUGCGACACCGGACAGUCUGGUGGCACACUGGACAGUCCGGUGCCCCGCUGACUCGCUGCUCUGACUUCUGCGUUGCACUGUUCAUCUGUAAGAGUCGACCGUUGCGCAGAUAGCCAUUGCUCCGGUGGCACACUAGACAGUCCGGUGAAUUAUGAGCGCACCCUUGAAUUCCCGAGAGUGGCUCCUUCGGAGUUGUACGGGCAUGGUGCACCGGACACUGUUCGGUGGCACACCGGACAGUCCGGUGCCCCAACUUAUAGCACACUCAAGUUCUUUGCUCCAUUUUGAAUUGAGUCCCCUAACUAGAUUUUCAUUGUUAGUUUUGUUGAACCUUAUUCACCUGUAAUACAUUAAUUCUAGACAAACUAGUUAGUCCAUGUGUUUGUGUUGACUAUCAUCCACCAAAAUUAAUUAUAGCAAAUGGUUAAUCCUAUUUCCCUUUCAAUCUCCCCCUUUUUGGUGAUUGAUGCCAACACAAACCAAAGCAAGUAUAAAGUGCAGAAAUGUAACUAGUUUGCAUUUAGAAUGUGCAUAGGUUACUUGGAGUUAAACCAAUUGUAAAUCUCACUAAAUAUGAAUGGAUUGCUUUUUCCUUUUAUUUAAUAUUUUGGACCACAUUUGCAUCACUUGUUUUGUUUUUGCAAAUCUUUUUGGAACAUCUUUUCAAAGUCUUUUGCAAAUAGUCAAAGGUAUAGAAAUGUUAUUGCAAGAAGCAUUUUUAAGAUUUAGAAUUUCUCCCCUAUUUCAAAUGUUUUUCCUUUGACUAAAUAAAACACCCCCUGAAUGAAAUUCUCCUCUUAGCUUUCAAGAGGGUUUUGAAAUAGAUACCAAUUGAUACAAUAUACUAAUUUGAGAAUACAUCAAUUGAAACAAAUACCAAUUAAAACUUUAUUUCGAAAGUUUUUUUGAAAUGGUGGUGCGGUCAUUUUGCUUUGGGCUUAAUACUCUCUCACACUUUGGCAUUAGUUGCAAAAAACGGAGACUGUGAGAGCCCUCUUUGCACUUUUCUCCCCCUUUGGCGCUAAUACCUUCUCCCAAAUGGUGAAAUAAAUAUGAGUGAAGAUAAUACCAUUGAGAGUUUGUGGAGUAGCGGCAAGGGUUAAGUGAUACUGUCAGAGUUUGGAGUGGAAGCCUUGUCUUUGCCGAAUAUUCCAUUUUCCUUUCAAUCUAAUACUAAGGAUAGAAGUAUACUUGAAAACACAUUAGUAUUAAUCUUGGCACAAGGAUGAUAAGUAAUAUGCAUUUGUACCAUAUGAUCAAAGGUAUAUAAAUAAGCUAUAUGUGCAAUGUUUCAUUCAAAAUUCCGAGAAUCAAGUAUAUUUAGUUCAUUCUUAAGUUUGCUAAAGGUUUUCUCAUCUAAUGGCUUGGUAAAGAUAUCGGCUAAUUGAUUCUUGCUGUUUACAUAAGCUAUUUCGAUAUCCCCCUUUGUUGGUGAUCUCUCAGAAAGUGAUACCGAAUAUCUAUGUGCUUAGGGCGGCUGUGUUCAACGGGAUUAUCUGCCAUGCGGAUUGCACUCUCAUUAUCACAUAGGAGGGGGACUUUGCUCAAUUUGUAGCCAUAGUCCCUAAGGGUUUGUCUCAUCCAAAGUAAUUCCGCACAACAAUGGCCUGCGACAAUGUACUCGGCUUCGACGGUAGAAAGAGCUAUGGAGUUUUGUUUCACUAAAGCCCAUGACACCAGGGAUCUUCCCAGAAACUGACAAGUCCCUGAUGUGCUCUUUCUAUCAAUUUUACACCCUGCCCAAUCGGCAUCGGAAUAUCUUAUUAAAUCAAAAGUGGACCCCUUGGGGUACCAAAGCCCAAACUUAGGAGUGUAAACUAAGUAUCUCAUGAUUCUCUUCACGGCCCUAAGGUGAACUUCCUUAGGAUUUGCCUGAAAUCUUGCACACAUGCAUACAGAAAGCAUAAUGUCUGGUCGAGAUGCACAUAAAUAGAGUAAAGAUCCUAUCAUCGACCGAUAUACCUUUUGAUCUACAGAUUUACCUCCCGUGUCGAGGUCGAGAUGCCCAUUUGUUCCCAUGGGUGUCUUGAUGGGUUUGCCAUCCUUCAUUCCAAAUUUCUUAAGUAUGUCUUGAAUGUACUUUGUUUGGCUGAUGAAGGUGCCAUCUUGGAGUUGCUUGAUUUGGAAUCCUAGGAAAUACUUCAACUCUCCCAUCAUAGACAUCUCGAAUUUUUGAAUCAUGAUCUUACUAAACUCUUCACACGUUGACUUGUUAGUAGACCCAAAUAUAAUAUCAUCAAUAUAAAUUUGGCAUACAAACAAAUCUUUUGCAACAGUUUUAGUAAAGAGUGUAGGAUCGGCUUUUCUGACUUCGAAGCCAUUAGCGAUAAGGAAGUCUCGCAGGCAUUCAUACCAUGCUCUUGGGUCUUGCUUGAGCCCAUAAAGCGCCUUUGAGAGUUUAUACACAUGGUUAGGGUACUCAUUAUCUUCAAAGCCAGGAGGUUGCUCAACAUAGACCUCUUCCUUGAUGGGUGCAUUGAGGAAGACACUUUUCACAUCCAUUUGGUAAAGCUUAAAGCCAUGGUAAGUAGCAUAGGCAAGUAAUAUACGAAUUGACUCAAGCCUAGCUACGAGUGCAUAAGUUUCAUCAAAAUCCAAACCUUCGACUUGUGAAUACCUUUUGGCCACAAGUCGGGCUUUGUUUCACCACACCAUGCUCGUCUUGCUUGUUGCGGAAUACCCAUUUGGUACCUACAACAUUUUGAUUACGACGUGGAACUAAAUGCCAUACCUCAUUUCUCGUGAAGUUGUUGAGCUCCUCUUGCAUAGCCAGCACCCAAUCCGGAUCUCUUAAUGCAUCCUCCACCCUGUAAGGUUCAAUAGAGGACACAAAAGAUAAAUGCUCACAGAAAUUUGCAACUCGAGAUCUAGUGGUUACCCCCUUAUGAAUGUCACCAAGAAUGGAGUUGACGGGGUGUUCUCUUUGAAUUGCUUGGUGGACUCUUGGGUGUGGCGGUCUUUGAUCUCUAAUGUCACACCCGGCUUUAAGGAACAAAGCCAGGUGCAUCUCAUACAUGCGCCAAGAAGACAACAUAUAUAAUAACAGAGUGUAUAGAGAUAAAUGUCAUAAAACAUCAGAGUAUUUAUUACAUAGCGGAAGACUUAUUACAAAAUAAAAGAAUAAACAUAAAACGAACUAAGGAUCGUCGGCGCCAAUGUCAACUGAGAAACGCCACCUAGAUCAGAUCAUACUCCUCGCCUUGUGGCUCCUCCUGAACCACCUGCUCUUCUCCUGUGGGGGGGGGGUGUGAGACAGCAAGGGUGAGCUCACAUACGUUCAUCGCUCAACAAGUUGUGGGGAAUAAUGUGACAUGAACUCACCAAAGGUGGGAGCUCAUGGAGUGUAAGGCUUAUCAAAGGGAAUGGUUAAAGCUGAGCAUUGCUUUUAAUGUUGGUCAAACUUUUAUUAGCAUUUACUAGAUGUAAGUAAAUACCAAACCUUAAUAAAUAAUAGAACAAAAUUAAUAAUAAACCCAUGCAUAUGCAAAUGACAAAUUGAGUUUAGG
rnacentral:lncRNA from 1 species